GCGAAGAGUUGGAUUUGGAAGGAAAGCGGAAUGGCUCGAGGAUGCGAGAACAAUAGCAUCAAAGACAGCGACUUCAGUGACAGCCCAACCCUCGGGGUUUAGAGAGAAGACUUUGUCGGCGAUUUGCCCACAGACUGCCUGACUCGAGACGAGGUGGAAGAGAGAUUUUCAAAAUAUGGCAAGAUCAGGGCCCUCAGCAUGUACGGUGGCUAUGGGUUCGUGCAGUGUGACCGUCUGGAAGAUGUCCAGGCCGCUCUGGAUGGGGAGAAGGGUCGUCUUUAUAAGGGGUAUCGAUUAGAUAUUAAUAAAGCAGUGGAAAGAAGAAAUAUGAAUAAGGCUUCAUCAAGGUCCAGUCCGGCGCGAAGGUAAAGUACCCGGAAGCAGU